rnacentral:rRNA from 1 species
CAGUCGCCACGGGAAUACGAAGGGUGCAAGCGUUACUCGGAAUUGCUGGGCGUAAAGCGUGUGUAGGUGGUUGUUUAAGCCUGUCGUGAAAGCCCUGGGCUCAACCUGGGAAUUGCGAUGGAUACUGGGCGACUAGAGUGCGGUAGAGGAUAGUGGAAUUUCCGGUGUAGCAGUGAAAUGCGUAGAGAUCGGAAGGAACAUCUGUGGCGAAGGCGACUAUCUGGGCCAACACUGACACUGAGACACGAAAGCGUGGGGAGCAAACAGGAUUAGAUACCCCUGUAGUCCCUGUCUCUUAUAC